GUGGUAGUGAGUGCACACCAUGUCCGUGUGCGAUCAGGCGAUUUCGCACAAGAGAUAAGUUUGUUUACCUGCAGAUAUCGAAUCUUUAUUUCUGGGAAUAGAAUCACAUCGUUGCAGUUUAUAUGUGCAUCGGAAAUUACUCGUAUUUGCCGUGCCUUGGAGUCCGAUGUGUUCUGCAAUGUGCUUGCGGAGUCACGAUGGACGAUCCUCGCACAACAUUGGAACGCAAAUUUAAAAUAAAAUAAACAACAACA